rnacentral:lncRNA from 1 species
UUGCUGGAAUGGGGACAAGGCUGGGCGGCCCUGGAGAAAGGAGAAGUAUUGUGAGUGUCAGGAGCUGCAGACGAGUUUAGAAUGUAGCUGGAAUAAAUUAAGCCUGGCUUGGAGUAUGCCAAGAAUCAGGGUGAACUCGGAGCCAGCAACCAGAAGUCAGCCCACAGAGGGCAUCAGAGGGCCCGGCAGAGAGAGGGUCACAGUGCCAGGAAAUGAGCAGGAAUGUGGGGAUGUAGUAAGGAUGAUUACAGCACAAUGCAAGAUGGAGGGACUGGGCUGAGGAAUGAGUGCUACUAGGAGAGGCUCUGGUGUCAGAAGCUGGACACGUACGUGUGUGAGUGAGGCUCUUAGGAGGGACCUGCAGCCUCCACGUGGAUACUAACGGAGGACACUGGUGUGGUGGAAGUGGGUCAUGUGAACAGGGAGCAAUAACAGUUUCUCGUAGGCUUUCAGGGAAAGCACUGAAGGACCUGAUUAAUUUGCUGUUUGUGUGCCCUAGAGGUCACUUGAUAAAGACACAGCCUCAAGUCAGGCAAGGUGACAGUGAGACUGUCUCAAAACAAACAACCCCCCAAACUUCUCUGUGACAAAAAUCACAUUUCUUUUUAAUUUGUAAAACUUUUUUUUAAAAAAAA